UCUUAUAAAUUUUAAAUGUAGAAUCUUUUCAUGUAUAAUAUUCAUGUAUAAUAUUCAUGCAUAAUUUUUUUUUUUAAAUUUUAGAUCGCAUAGAUUUGGAAAUUGAAUUACAAACAGCCAUAACUACCUUGUUAGGUGUUUCUGUUCCUGAAAAAGAUAGACCUAGAAGUCUAGUACGUACUGCAAUGAGAACUUUGUGUUGUACAAGUGAACCACAGGAUUCGUCGGGUAGUUAUUAUAAUUAUACAAAACAUAACCUAACUUAAAAUAACAUAAAAAUAAAGAUUAUAAAACCAUAUUGUGUAAAAAAAAAUGUAUCGUUGAUUUACGCAAAUGUAACAGUAAUAUAUCGUUGCUCAGCGACAAUGCUGAACAUUACGCUUACGUUAUAUUUAUUAUUUGUAAAAAGAAAAAGAAAUUAUUCAAUGACAUGUUUGAAAAAAACUUUGCUAUAAUUUUAAAACAUAUUGCUUGGGAAUUAAAAGUAGUUAGUAUUUCAAUGCAUAUACUUGUUCAAUUAAUACAAAGUAUUGGAAAAUUACUUACUACUAGUUCGUCAUAGGAACAUUUGAACAAAAACUUAAUUGUACUACGUUAAUAACUCGAGUAAAUAUAUUAUUUUUGUAUACAAUUUUUGUAAUCAACACGGUUUAUUAUUAAAUUGUACAGAUAUAUUUGUGGAUGUGAAAAUGCAAGAGAGAAGAAAGCUAUUCCGUGAUGCUACAAAACUAUUUAUCAGUUCUGCACUAAGACCAGGCCACGAAGACUUCGGAAAUUAUAACCUGAUGUGUCGGCUAAAAGGUGUAUACAGAGGUAUAAUAGAUUAUGACAAUGAUUAUAGCAUAAUACAAGCUGAAGUUUUUAGUGACCAUUGUCGUCUAACUCGUGAUGACGAAACAUCAAUCACUGUUAGUUGCAUUGGGGAUGACAUUGGAGGUGAAUUUUGGGGUCGACACGGAGGAGGAUACUUGGAGUGAUAUUGGAGAUGACUGAUUAGAAGAACAUCAUUAAUAUAAUAAAAAUCGUUCACUUGCUUCUCAGUUAUUAUAAUUGAGAUCAUUUAUCUUGAACAUUAACUCAUUACAAAUUAUACAGUACUAUUUUUAUUAUAUUUAAAUAAUUAUUCCAAAUCACAUUUACAUCCACAUUAUCAAAUUUAAUGUAUCUUUAAAUAAAUUCUUUUACUUAAGAUUAUAAA